AUUGAACGCUGGCGGCAGGCCUAACACAUGCAAGUCGAACGAGUGGCGGACGUGUGAGUAAUGUCUGGGAAACUGCCUUAUGGGGGGGGAUAACUACUGGAAACGGUAGCUAAUACCGCAUACCCUCAGAUGUGCCCAGAUGGUUUUCUCUAGUUGGUGGGGUAACGGCUCACCAAGGCGACGACCCCUCGCUGGUCUGAGAGGAUGACCAGCCACACUGGAACUGAGACACGGUCCAGACUCCUACGGGAGGCAGCAGUGGGGAAUAUUGCACAAUGGGCGCAAGCCUGAUGCAGCCAUGCCGCGUGUAUGAAGAAGGCCUUAGGGUUGUAAAGUACUUUCAGCGGGGAGGCGUUACCCGCAGAAGAAGCACCGGCUAACUCCGUGCCAGCCGCCGCGGUAAUAC
rnacentral:rRNA from 1 species